rnacentral:lncRNA from 1 species
GGGAUUACGGGAGUGAGCCACCACACCAGAACUGAUCUUUCUAACACAGGGAAAUUGUAUUCUUUAGAAGUGGAGGAAUAUUUCCUAGUAAUUUGAUCAAGUAAAAAUAAUUAUAAUAAAGAAGGUAAAAUCAAGCCCUAAUUCCCCAUGUAGGGGAAUAAUAUCAUUUUGGUAAGAUUCUUCCAGACAGUAUGAUUAGGAUGUUACAUAAAUCAAACUGUGCUAUAUACAGUAUGCAGAGAAGGAAAUUCCUUAGCUUGUCUAAAGUCUGAUAGUGUGAAGAAUUUGCUGACCUGCUCUCCAUGCCUGUCUGAGCACGAGUGAAGUGAAUCAGAGAGAGAUUGCAAGAUGGAGAAAGGAGGUACAGUUGGAGAGAGUGGAGGGGGCAGGAAAGACCAGACAGAGCUGCAUCUCCCAUGAAAACAACUGUGUACAUAAGAUAGAGUGAGUACAUAGAGUACAUAGAAGAGUGAGCUCUGAAAGAACUCUCACAUGGACCCCAGAAAGAGGAGUACUCAACGCCUGCUGCACAGAAGGCAUCAGCAGUUAAGUACUGGCUAGAAAAGCGGAGUCCAUCAAAGGAGAGGACCACAGUGGUAGCUGCCUGGAGAGCUGUCCCUGCAAGCUGAACUAACAGAAGAUGAAGAAUGAGGUCUCCCUGAAAUGCCCACCAUAAGACUGCCAGAUAUGGGACUGCUGGAUGACACUCUGGCUACCCCACUGAGUUUUAUGAAAACAUAACAGAAUAAAGACACUUACUUGUCAACUCAGUUACAAGCUAUUGAGGCACUCCAGAGUGACGGCAUGUGAUCCCCCUGACACAAGAAACAGGCCCAGAUAACACACCGUUCAGACCGACAGCAGUUCUGGUU